rnacentral:rRNA from 1 species
GAGUCGUGAGGGUUCGGCCCUCGGCAGACGGCUCAGUAACACGUAGAUAAUUUGCCCUUAGGUGGAGGAUACCCUCGGGAAACUGAGAAUAAUACUCCAUAGAUCUAGAUUGCUGGAAUGCUUCUAGAUUGAAAGAUUUAUCGCCUAAGGAUAAGUCUGCGGAUUAUCAGGUUGUAGUCAGGGUAACUACCUGACUAGCCUAUGACGGAUACGGGUUGUGAGAGCACUAGCCCGGAGAUGAUAUCUGAGACACGAUAUCAGGCCCUACGGGGCGCAGCAGGCGCGAAAACUUCGCACUGUGCGAAAGCACGACGAGGGAAUCCCAAGUGCUGGCUCGUAAGAGUCAGCUGUUUCUUUGUCUAAAAAACAGAGAGAGUAAGGGCUGGGUAAGACGGGUGCCAGCCGCCGCGGUAAUACCUGCAGCCCAAGUGGUGGCCGCUAUUAUUGGGCCUAAAACGUCCGUAGCCGGUUCUAUAAAUGCCUGGGUGAAUCGUACGACUUAACCGUACGAAUUCCGGGUAGACUGUUCAACUUGGGACCGGGAGAGGCUAGAGGUACUCCUGGGGUAGAGGUGAAAUUCUGUAAUCCUAGGGGGACCACCAGUGGCGAAGGCGUCUAGCUAGAACGGGUCUGACGG